rnacentral:rRNA from 1 species
GACGGAGGGUGCAAGCGUUGUUCGGAUUGACUGGGCGUAAAGGGCGUGUAGGCGGUUGGUCAAGUCUGGUGUGAAAGCCCGGGGCUUAACCCCGGAAGUGCAUUGGAACUAGCCAGCUAGAGCGCGAGAGAGGAGGGUGGAAUUCCUGGUGUAGCGGUGAAAUGCGUAGAUAUCAGGAGGAACACCGGCGGCGAAGGCGGCCCUCUGGCUCGUUGCUGACGCUGAAACGCGAAAGCGUGGGGAGCAAACAGG